rnacentral:rRNA from 1 species
CUACAAAGGAAUUGGACGGGGCCCGCACAAGCGGUGGAGCAUGUGGUUUAAUUCGACGCAACGCGAAGAACCUUACCAGGGCUUGACAUCCCCUGACCGCGUAUGAAAGUACGUUUUCACCCUCGGGUGACAGGGAGACAGGUGGUGCAUGGUUGUCGUCAGCUCGUGUCGUGAGAUGUUGGGUUAAGUCCCGCAACGAGCGCAACCCCUACGUUUAGUUGCUAACGCGUGAAGGCGAGCACUCUAGACGAACUGCCGUUGACAAAACGGAGGAAGUGGGGAUGACGUCAAACCAUCAUGCCCCUUAUGUUCUGGGCUACACACGUGCUACAAUGGCCGGUACAGACGGACGCAAAGCCGCGAGGUGGAGCAAAUCCUAAAAAGCCGGUCUCAGUUCGGAUUGCAGGCUGCAAUUCGCCUGCAUGAAGUCGGAAUCGCUAGUAAUCGCAGGUCAGCAUACUGCGGUGAAUACGUUCCCGGGCCUU